GCUGGUAUAGCUUAGUGGUAGAGUGCAGGCUUAGCAUGCAUGAGGUCCUGGGUUCAAUCCCUAGUAUCUCCG
rnacentral:tRNA from 1 species